rfam:Felis catus isolate Cinnamon breed Abyssinian chromosome C2, whole genome shotgun sequence.
GCCUGAGUGGCUCAGUUGGUUAAGCACCUGACUUUGGCUCAGGUCAUGAUUUCACCGUUUGUGGGUUCGAGCCCUGUGUCUGGCU